rnacentral:misc_RNA from 1 species
GCAUCUAAAAUGGUGCUUUAUUCAGAAAAGCAAUUUCAGGCCACUAAACACAAUGUCAAACAGGCACAAAGUAAACCUGAUUAAAAACAGUUCAAAUUCAUAAUAUAAUUCGCAAAGAAAAGCAUAUAAUGUAGAAAAAAAAUUCAUAAGAAAGCAACGCAGACUGCCAGAUUCAGCAUUUUGUAAUAACUACACGCCUGGACAAUCAAGGAAGCAGAAAAAGAAAACACAAAUUAGAAAAAUAGAAGAGUACAAAUAUUGAGCACAGAAAAAUAGUAAUUGAAAGUAUCUAACCAAUUAUUGAGCAGAAAAAUCAAGUAAUUGUUUCAGCACAUGCAAGCCAUCUAUCUCAAAGAUCAAGUAAUUGAAAGUUUAUACCCAAAGCAAUUCUCUCUGCAAUUUCAUUAACAUGAACUAUCAAUGAGCUGUAACAAGAUGUUGAUAUGCUGUUCUAAGCUCAGCAAGUAAGCCAUUGGCAAACAUUAAACUCACUCUCCGCAAUCAUGCUGAGAUCAACACUGAAUCACAACCAGUUUGAUUUAACUCAUUGAAACUUGUUAUGCCUACACACGUAAUAAUCCAUACGCCAACUUCCAAGAAGCAAAGCAUAAAGAACGAACAAUAAGCUAAAAAGUUGGAGAUAAGUCAU